GGUUCCAUAGUGUAGUGGUUAGCACGUUAGCACGUCUGCUUUACAUGCGGAAGGUCCUGGGUUCACGACCCAGUGGAGCCA
rnacentral:tRNA from 1 species